GUUUACCUGUGUGUGGAUGGUGUUCAGCACCAGGGACAUACCAUGUUUACCUGUGUGUCAAUGGUGUUCAGCACUAGGGACAGUUGUGUUUACCA
rnacentral:pre_miRNA from 1 species